ensembl:lincRNA
CAAGGAGUCGUGCACUGCUCGUCCCAGGCAGCAGUAGUGAUAUACGUCUUGUUCCUUCGUGCUCACAAAAAGGAUUUCUUCCGACAAGCUGGACACUGGAAGGGUGCAGAAAGGGAACUGAACAGGAGGAACUCUCUUGUUGGAUUGGAUUUUUACACACUCGCCCCAGUUGGAAAAAGGAGAGGGGUCCAAGCAGAGCUGAACAUGAAUGCAUGGGUGCGCUGUAAAAUGCGAUUUCGAGAAGGUGUGACACCUCGAUGCGAAGGGGUUCUUAACUUAAACUCUUGUUAUCUGGGCCACCCAAUGACCGACGAAAGAUCUUCCCUCCCUAAGUCUCCCAUCGCUGCUUUAAACCAAAUAAAUUUAGCUAUUAAGGGACAAGACGUCUGACAAAAGAUCGAAAGGUGUCUCUCUGGGAUCGCUUAAAGAAGCGAAGCCACUGGCGGCUCUCGAAUCCCGAUAAAGAAAUUCCAAGCCGGCGCCGGCCUCCCUCUCCAGCCUGCUUGCAUCCGACACCCUGAGAUCAGAACCUCAAAGGUCCAUUGGGACCUGUGGCUGCAAUUAAGACAAUAUCUAGGGUCCCGGGCUUGGGGAUGCUAGGCCUUUGGGAUGGGGGGCACUGAGGUCCACGGGCAGUGGGACCUAAAAUAUUCCUGCCAAGUUCCAGAAGAACCAAAGCCAAGGGAACCCAAAGUAGCAUUUAAAUUUGCCUCUUUCCCCUUUUCCUUUGAGACAAAGUUUCUCAUUAUGGAUGGCAGGAUGGCCUCAAGCGCCGGUUCCCUCUAUAUCUGACCCCGGCUUUUUGUUAUCUAGACCAAUUAAGAACUCCAUUUACACUGUCGAGUACUGAUUACAAAUUUAACCUUGUCUUGCCGUUUUUAUUAUUUUCUAACAUUAAGCAAUAAAGACAAAGCCCAAUCAUGCCUAUCUACCUUCCUCAUGUUCAUUUUAGGAGCAGAGAAGCACCCCCCUUAUUUCCUAGGGUCAUGAGCAGAGCUUCUAAUCCCUGGUAGAAAUGGUGGUGGGUCUGCUCCCUGGCCUUGAACCCAGAAGGUUGUAGACUCUCCAAGGUUGGUUUGGU